rnacentral:misc_RNA from 1 species
ACACCCUCAAGCUCUGCUUGGUGUUGGGCGUCUGUCCGCGCUUCUCGCGAGGACUCGCCCCAAAUCUAUUGGCAGCGGCAUCGCCGGCUUCUCGCGCAGCACAAUGCGUCAUGGAAGGUUACCGGCGCGCUUGCGUCCAUCAAGUCACCCCUCAAGU